UUAGAGAUAUUGUUAGUCAUCAGCUGGACAAAAUAUAUAACACUAGCCUAGUGGUUUUUGGAUAUUUUACUGCGAAUAUCUUACAUAGUGUACCUUUAACUCACAUAACUCAUCUUUGACAGCUGUCCAAGUGAGUUAUAUUUGUAGUAGACAAAUGUGACCACUAUGAAUCAGAUUUUGAGAGAUUUAGCACAAACAACCAAUGAGCAUUGCUCAAACAAAAGGUGUUACUUUCAUCCCCGGUCUCCUCUAAACAUUGAAUGCAAUGUAAAUCACUCUGAAUAAAAUUUUCUGUCAAAUGCAAAAUGUGUUAAGAUAUAUAUAUCUAUAUUUCAGAUGGAGAUUUAUGUGUCUUUAGGAAAGUAUGAACAUUAAACAUGCACUUUAAAGUUGUGUCCUAUGGAUCAGAGUGAAAGAGCAACUCAAUGCUGCAUGUUUGUGGUUUCUGUUUUUGUACUUCCUCUGUAUUUUCCAUUCUUACACCUCGUCUUUUACAUGUGAAGACAUUCUGAGCAAAAUAUACUGUCGAAGAAAAGUGUAUCACCAUGUACUUUGUCUAACAAAAAUGUCACUUCGAAGCUUGUUGUUGGUCUCCAUGGUUGUGUUCAUCAGCACAGAAGCUGUUUCAGAUGAAUGUGUGAAGAAAGCAGUGAGUGAUCGAGUUUCUUUUCGUCCAGACAAAUCUCUUACUCCUAAUGUCACCAGCAUCAUCUGGAAACACAUAAACACUGACGGAAUUGUUGUCAAGGCGAUUGAAUGGGAUGAAGGAGAAAUUCUAAUCCCAAAUCUGAGAUUCAAAAACAUCACAACUGUUGAUGAGAAGACUGGACAAAUGAAUAUAGCUAAUUUAACUGUCGAGCAUAGAGGAGUUUAUACCAUUGACAUCAACAGUAAAGAGCAGGAACAGAGAUUCAACUUGACUGUUAUGAAAAUCGCUUUUUAAGGAUUACAACAAAUGACGAGUAGGGACUACAACAAGCUUCUUCUCGAGCGGGUCCCCAAACCUGUGAUAAAAACAGAGCAGAGUAAAGAUAACCCUGAUGUUGUGUAUUUAAUAUGUGAGUACAAGUGAAACGAUCAUCUGGAAGAAUUCUGCUGGAGAAAACACUGAAUGGUUCAGAGCUCCAUCCGAAAGGAGAGACUUUAGCAGUCAAAUAUGAAGGAAAUCGUGAAAACUUCUACACCUGUACACUAGAUAACGGCGCAAGUGAAGAGACCAGUGAUCCGCUCUAUGAAAGAGAUCUGUUUGAGGAUUCAAACAGGGUAUUUGUCACUUGUAUUUCCAUCGUUUUGAUCUGCAAGGUUCUUUUCACCUUUUUCCUGUUUAUACCAACUUUAUACGGUUAUUGUGCUGAUUGCUGUAGGAGACAAAACACUUCCAGAAAAUGACAGUGAUUGACUGAUGCUCAUCAUGAACCUUGUGACUCUUCAAAUGUAAAGCCACACGUGGAUCUUCUCGACACAUUUGUCUGGAUCAUCGGCUCUAAAUACACUUGUACAUUACAUCUAUGGAUGUGUUGCUGUUGUGUGUUUCUCCUGUUUUAAUUUUUCCCAUCAUGAGGACAUGCUUUCCACUAACAGGUACUCAUGACUGCCACCUAAUUCACUUUGUGGAUUUUUUUACCUGUUGUGAUUGGCUGUUGAUGGGAGAGGAGUAUAUAAAGCUUCAUCAGUCACUGAAAAGAGGAGAAAAUGACUGAAAUUACUGUGCCGUCUGGAGAGAAUGUCUCCUGCCUCAGAUCCAGCUAUUGAGUUUAUGUUGUUGGUUUAAUUUGAUCAAGUGGUGUUCACCAGAUGUCAUAUAGGUCAUACAAGAUUGACUCAUGUGUUUUGCAAGACCACCUUUAUAAUAUUAAUUGCUGUAUUUUUUCCCCUGUUUGCUGGGCUUUUAUGUUCAUUGUAUAUAUGUAAGUCUUUGCCAUGAAGAUAGCCACAGAUGCUGACAUAGCAAUAAAUAAAAAUACUGAUAGUGGACUGUUGUUGGUCUGCUGCUUGUCAAAGUUUGAUUGUAUAAGAUUUAGCAAUUGUCUUUAUUUUUAUAAGCAGGUGGGUAGCAGUUUGGUGACAUUUUUCUCCUCAUUUUGGACAAUUAAAUGACAUAGGGAUAUUUAACAUUGAUUUUUCUUUUUUGGGGGGGUCUGAGUGUUCAAGCCAACUUAAAAGAACUUAAAUAAAAGAAACUUUUUUUCCCCA